GUAGGUGGCAAGCGUUGUCCGGAAUUAUUGGGCGUAAAGCGCGCGCAGGCGGUCCUUUAAGUCUGAUGUGAAAGCCCACGGCUCAACCGUGGAGGGUCAUUGGAAACUGGGGGGCUUGAGUGCAGAAGAGAAGAGUGGAAUUCCACGUGUAGCGGUGAAAUGCGUAGAGAUGUGGAGGAACACCAGUGGCGAAGGCGACUCUUUGGUCUGUAACUGACGCUGAGGCGCAAAAGCGUGGGGAGCAAACAGGAUUAGAUACCCUGGUAGUCCACGCCGUAAACGAUGAGUGCUAAGUGUUAGAGGGUUUUCCGCCCUUUAGUGCUGCAGCAAACGCAUUAAGCACUCCGCCUGGGAGUACGGCCGCAAGGCUG
rnacentral:rRNA from 1 species